UUUCAGCCUGUCGCACUGUUCUCUUGAAGGACAACCCAGUUUGAAAUGGAUCAAGCAAAGGAUAAUUCGCCUGAAGAAAUGAAAUUUCCAAAGGUCAAUUUGGUUCUGUUAGUAAUACAGGGUGUUAUUUCAGAAACUCCUACAAAUUUAUUUGGUUCUGAUAAUAUAGGAAGUGCAGGAAAUGGCUUUAUGAAUGAGAAGCAAAUUCCAUCGAAAGCUUUGAAGGUUUUACCCACCUGUACAUAGUUGAGCUGGAAUUGAGUUCUACAAUUUCCAUCAUGAUGAAAAUUGCUACAGAUUUGUUCGAUUCUGGCAAUAUGGGAAGGACAGGAAAUGAAUGACAAGCAACAUUCAUCGAAAUCUAUUAAGGUUUUGCCAUGGUUAGACUAUCUACCUACGUUGUUGUGCUGGAAUGAAUUUCUACAAUUUUCCAUCAUGUUGAAAAUUCCUACAGACUUGUUCGGUUCUGGUAGUAUACCAUAUUAGGAAUAAGUGGAAAUGGGUUUAUGAAUGAGAAGCAAUAUUCUUUGAAGGUUUUACCAUGGUUGAAGUGUCCACCUACGUCGUUGGGCUGGAAUGGAGUUCCACAC